UACGUAGGGUGCGAGCGUUGUCCGGAAUUAUUGGGCGUAAAGAGCUUGUAGGCGGUUUGUCGCGUCUGCCGUGAAAAUUCGAGGCUCAACCUCGAACUUGCGGUCGAUACGGGCAGGCUAGAGUUCGGUAGGGGAGACUGGAAUUCCUGGUGUAGCGGUGAAAUGCGCAGAUAUCAGGAGGAACACCGGUGGCGAAGGCGGGUCUCUGGGCCGAUACUGACGCUGAGGAGCGAAAGCGUGGGGAGCGAACAGG
rnacentral:rRNA from 1 species